UACGAAGGGGGCUAGCGUUGCUCGGAAUCACUGGGCGUAAAGCGCACGUAGGCGGACUCUUAAGUCGGUGGUGAAAUCCUGGAGCUCAACUCCAGAACUGCCUUCGAUACUGAGAGUCUUGAGUCCGGGGAGAGGUGAGUGGAACUGCGAGUGUAGAGGUGAAAUUCGUAGAUAUUCGCAAGAACACCAGUGGCGAAGGCGGCUCACUGGCCCGGGUACUGACGCUGAGGUGCGAAAGCGUGGGGAGCAAACAGG
rnacentral:rRNA from 1 species